rnacentral:rRNA from 1 species
CCUACGGGGGGCAGCAGUAGGGAAUAUUGCUCAAUGGGGGAAACCCUGAAGCAGCAACGCCGCGUGGAGGAUGAAGGUUUUCGGAUUGUAAACUCCUUUUGUUAGAGAAGAUAAUGACGGUAUCUAACGAAUAAGCACCGGCUAACUCCGUGCCAGCAGCCGCGGUAAUACGGAGGGUGCAAGCGUUACUCGGAAGCACUGGGCGUAAGGAGCGCGUAGGCGGGAUAGCAAGUCAGAUGUGAAAUCCUAUGGCUUAACCAUAGAACUGCAUUUGAAACUGUUAUUCUAGAGUAUGGGAGAGGUAGGUGGAAUUCUUGGUGUAGGGGUAAAAUCCGUAGAGAUCAAGAGGAAUACUCAUGGCGAAGGCGACCUGCUAGAACAUAACUGACGCUGAUGCGCGAAAGCGUGGGGAGCAAACAGGAUUAGAUACCCCUGUAGUC